UCCUAGGGUCUCUCCCUCCAGUCUUCUUGGACAGAGUCCUGUGUGCCAUCUCCCGUCUCCUUUGCACGUUCUGCAGUGGAAGCAAGUCCUGUGGCCGUGCUGCUCCACACACUGUGUCCUCCCAGCACAGGCCUCUGCCUGCCUCAGGCUACAUUCCCAACCUGUUUCCCCACCAGGCACCUUUGCUGAGCCCAACAGUUACGUCUGCAGAAGGAACCGUCCGACAACGAGGCCACCCCAUGCUACAGCCUGCACCGUGCACCUCACUGGCCGCACGCCCUGCCUCCGUCUGUGUCUUCUCAAAGCCCCACCUGCCUGCAACCCCCGCCCUCUGUCUGCCUGGGCAUGCUGGAGGGCCCUCCCUGUAACAGGCUCCCCGGCCCUGCACCCUGGCUCAGCUGACCUGGCUGAGAUGGUCUCAAUGCUCACAGGGGAGAUAGGGAGACCUCAUGCUGCUUCUCCAGGCUCCCCUGACCUCUGAGUGGGGCGGAUCCGUUUCUGUCACACUGAAUGCAUUUACUGUUUCCCAUUUGGACUGAGCCAGCGGAGCACUGAGACCACGCCACACAGGGCCAGCCUGGGAGGAGAAGGGGCUCUUGUUUCUGCCGGGUCCUCAGCAGCUGCACAGUCUCCUCCUCCUGGGGCCUCCCUCCCUCCCAGGCUGCGAGCCAGUGGUUGAAGAUUUUCUCUGGAGGCAUUUUCAGAUCUGGCCUAGCACGGCCCCAGGUAUCCCGUCCUACCUGCCAGCAGCUAACGACACUCGGAUGAAUCACUGGCCCGAGCAGGUGCUCAUUCACACUUCCCAGUUCACUGGAUGCGCCGUGGGAGCCGCUGAGACGUGGGCACAGAAGGCACAUCUCCCUGGGACCCGAGAAGGCAACAGAGCCCCCGCAUCCCCCCAGCACGAUGCAGAAGGGCUGGGCCCAUAGCAGCUACCUGUGUGGUCACUCAGCCCUGAGCUCAGAAGUGCCGGGGCUCAGAGGACACCCUGCUGUUGCCACCGGGCACCCUUCACCAUCUCUGAACAAGGCCUGGGAUUUCUCUGUGACCUAGGCCCCCACAGGGUACAGUGGUCCUGACCCUACAUCCAUGUACAGGGAAUGCUGACCGCGGCAGCUCCGUGUUCACAGCCCUGGACACACAGAAAUGACUGUGAUGUGGCCCUGACCUCAGUAGUGUAGAAGGAACCCACUGAAGGAGACCGAGGUGGGGAACCUACAGGGCCUAAUGGAAACCCCAGCUGGGUGGGUGGCGGCCAUGCAGCUGGGAGUGAGUGUGAGGGUGCCUGGGGAUGGAGACGGUGCCGGGGAUGGAGACAGACACGGUCUCCAUGAGAAAGCUGGGCUUAAUCCUGACAGAGGGAGGCGGCCUGGAGGCCAUACAGGGAAGAGGGGCUCAGGAGGUUUGGAAACAGGAUUUCAGGACUGCCUGCGCUGCAGGUGGGUGCUGGCCACUGGUCUAGCCUGAUCUGGCACCCUGGUGGUGCAUGCCAUUGGAGGGGCUCCCUGUAUCUGUACUGUGGGGCCUUCCUGUCACAGGGUGGGCUCACAGGUCCUGCCCAUCCCUGCAUGGGAUGUGGGUGAGCUUUGCUCUGAGGAGGCCGACGUGAGCCUCCUGAUCAGCCGGACACAAAGUGGGCAGAGGGGCACCGAGCCCCCGGAGGCUCUGGGAGUGGGAAACCACCGAUCUGUAUGAGCUCAGGUGCCUCCUGGGACAGCCUGGAGGACAGUGGCUGUGAGGGGCUGUCACUGCAGCUCAUGGUAGGCAGCCCACCUUCCCAUUCAGAAAGGCUUUCCAGAAGGGGACGGCUGUGGAUGAACAGGCAGCGUCCUCCUGUCCUGUUUCCAUGCCUCUGACCACCCUCUACCUCUUCCCCUCGUCCCCUAAGCAGGCGUCCCUGUGAAGCGGCUACACAACCAGAGCGGGGCUCUAGGGGAGGGUCCUGGCACCUCUUCCAGCACCCAGUGGCUCCCGGUUUCCCUGGUUUGUGGCCUCUCUGCUCCCGUCUCUGCCUCUGUCUUCAUGCGGCCUCCCUACUGUGUCUGUCUCUGUCUCAUUCUCCUUUCUUUUAUGAAAACACAGCCAUUGGAUUUAGGGUCCACCUUAAAUCUAGAUGAUCACGCCUCCAGAUCCUUAACUUAAUUACAUCUGCAGAAACCAAAUAAGGUCACAUUGUUAGGUACCAGAGAUUAGGGUGUGGCUGUGCCAUUUGCGGGGGAUCACUCCAUAACCCACCAUGCAGCCCUAAGCUGUGUGACCGGCAGCAAGUCCCUGUCCUUCUUGGGGCCUCUGAUCCCUCGCAUGUGAGCAUGAGCCCCCCUCAGAGGGACACAUAAGGGAUCAAGUGAGUCCCACGUUCAGUGUGGUGCCUGUCAUGUUGUCUAGGGGUCUCUGGGUUCUGCGAACCAGGAGGCAGAAUUAGGAGCAAGAAUUAGGACCAGAUGGAUGGGAGCUGACACUGUCCCAGUGUGACCAGGGAAACAGAUCUCUCCAGGACCUCGACAGCAUGCCCUGGGCAGAGGCCGGUUGUCAUCACCCCGUAGGGCUCAGGCCUUCCCUGGCUUCCCAGAGGGAGGCAGGAUGAGAUCAGUUCCAAGGGUCCUUCCAGAUCUCGCAGAAAGUGCCCUCGCUUUAUUGCACCUCCAUUCAAGCUGAAAGAGAUGGCCAACCAAAUUAGCCCAGGAUUGAACAGAAAUUGAUUUUAAUUUAAAGCCCUUUGAGUGCUUUCUCCUCUCAGAUGAAAGAAGAGUAGGCUGAGAUGUGUCUCCUGUUGCCCCAUAACUGUAUCUGAGCCAACUUUCAGCCCCACACUGUCUGCUCCAGAUGAGGCAGCUUUUCUCAUUGUCUCUGGGUGGUGACUGAGCUUUACCUCCAAACUGCAAAGGAAUCUCAUUCUUUUAUUCCAGUCUGGUGCCAUCGCACACACUCUGACACAUAUUCCCCUGCACUAAGAGAUGAAGGUUGAACUGAGCCUUCCAGAACAGUGCAACGCAAGGGGCUGAAACAGGGGCCUGGGUCCACCAUUCCCUAAUCCAGGAGGAGCGACAUCUGAGAGUCCCCAGCUCAGACACUUCCCUCCAGGGGAGCGGCCAUCCCUGUGUGUGAUGGACGGCGCAAUCCCAAAUGCACUGGCUGGGAGAUUCUGGAGUCGGGAGCUCAGUGGCACCACCUUCGGAAGUUCAAGUUGAACACCUAGGAGACUUAGAGUUGGCACCGUGUUGGUGCCAUGUGCUUAGCGUAUGGCGCUGUGUGCUUAGGAGAGAGCCUGGGUCAUGAGGAUCCCCAUGCCCCAGGGGCCCCUCUUUGGCCCUUAGCCCCAAAUCCCAUUAACCAGGCAGGUGAGGCCAGGGACAUGUCUGUCCCUUCUGAGGCCCAAGCCCACUUGGUGUUCCUCAUGGUGCGGCAUGCAGGCAGAUUGACCAAGAUGGCUAUUGAGGCUGGAGUCCCAAGCCCCUCACCCACGCAGGCUGGCCAAGAACCUGGAAGGAACCUCAGGCCCCACAAAACGUGAAACCAUGGCUGCCCAUCCUUCUUCCCCUAGUCCUUGAAAUCCAUCCCCUCCAUCCAUCCAGCCUGUGAAUUUACCCCCAGGCCAAGGAGCAUAGCUGCAGAGCAAGGGUCCCUCCUGCAGGGUCAGGCUCUGGAAGGUGACCAGAAACCCCAGAAACCCCACCCCUGCCUCCCCUCCCUAGCCAUGACCGUAACUCCCACUGCACUGAGAAAAUCAAGGGCCAGAAGCCCCUGCACCACCUCCCCCACUGCAGUAAAAGAGGGGUUCGCCCUUGCCCCCAUCGCCCACCAGCACCCCCUUCACCCUGGUCACAGCCUUGCACCAUGGGGCACCGCCUGCAUCUCACCCCAGCCCUGCCCAGUUCCUCUGCCCUUGGCAUUUUAGCUGCUCCAAGUGCCUCCUUUCUCAGAACCGUCCCCAGACCCUGCAUCCCGCUAGCGAUCUUCACCCUCUCCCGCUCCUGGUGGUCAAAUCUUUAAAAGACCGCCUGUGUUUGCCAUGCCUUCCUUCUGCCCUCUCAGUGACCAGGUCUCCAGGAGGGUCUUUCCUGAGCAGGUGCACGACACGCCUCUGAGGCCCCCCUGCAGCUCAUGCUGCCUUUAUCCUUGUGUCAGAAGCUCUUUUCUCUGCUCCCAGACUGAUUUUGGAAGGCUGACUUUUAGAAAUGAUGAUGCUAUUUGAUCCAAGGGUUUCAACAGAUCAUCUUAAGCCUGGAGCCUAGAAUAAUAAAACUCUAGACUUGAGGGACCUGCAGAAAUCAUGUGGCCCCAAAUGCUGAUGACACUGUGCAAAGUGUCAUGAGGGCAUGAAGGUGGUUUUCAUUAUGAAAGCUCAAACCGGUGCCCAGAAAGGGGAAGCAACUUACCCAAAGACGCACAUUGGCUUAGCUGAGCUGGGACUGGGCACCACAGUCCUGAUCCCUGGCUCCACCCUGUCCUGAGAUCGCUCUUGUGUCACCAAAUUUCUGCCUCUUUCCGCGACAGCGCUCCACUUUCUCGUCCUUACAGCUUCCGUAGAAGCAAGACGAGCAGUUUUCGUUGCUGAAUUUUGAACAUAAUAAAAAGAAAAGUGCUUUCAAGGACAUUGAGUCUCUUCAGUUGGUGACUCCCGCAGCCUGUGAUGAAAGCGCCUUGCUUUCUGCCCAGGGAGGUGCCUGUGCAUACCUGGAAUUGUACACAUUCCUUUGGAUCAUGUGUCUGAGCAA
rnacentral:lncRNA from 1 species